rnacentral:lncRNA from 1 species
GAGAUUCUCCACGUGGGCAAUGAUACCAGAGGAAGAGGUACUUAUUGCCUUUAAAAUGGCCCAUAGCACUUAUACCCUAGACCCGUACGAGUUUGUCAGUAGAGGGUUCAAAGGGGGGAUAUGGAAUCCAAGAUACAACGAAUUCGAACUGAACUAUUGCCGGCUGGCCAAACUAAGAGAUUCUCCACACCGACCAUUAUACCAGAGGUAAAGGUUGGUAUUGCCUCUAAAAUGGCCCAUAGCACUUAUGCCCUAGACCCGUACGAGUUAGUCAGAAAAGGAUAAGGGGGAGUACCCUG